UACGGAGGGGCUAGCGUUGUUCGGAAUUACUGGGCGUAAAGGGCGCGUAGGCGGCCACCGCAAGUCAAUUGUGAAAUCUCCGGGCUUAACUCGGAAAGGUCAACUGAUACUGCAGGGCUAGAGUGCAGAAGGGGCAACUGGAAUUCUCGGUGUAGCGGUGAAAUGCGUAGAUAUCGAGAGGAACACCUGCGGCGAAGGCGGGUUGCUGGGCUGACACGUGACGCUGAGGCGCGAAAGCGUGGGUAGCAAACAGG
rnacentral:rRNA from 1 species